GACGAACGCUGGCGGCGUGCCUAAUACAUGCAAGUCGAGCGGAGCGGCGGACGGGUGAGUAAUGCCUAGCAAUCUGCCUGGUAGUGGGGGAUAACGUCCGUAAACUGGCGCUAAUACCGCAUACUAUCAGAUGAGCCUAGGUCGGAUUAGCUAGGUGGUGGGGUAAAGGCCUACCAAGGCGACGAUCCGUAACUGGUCUGAGAGGAUGAUCAGUCACACUGGAACGGAGACACGGUCCAGACUCCUACGGGAGGCAGCAGGAGGGAAUAAUGGACAAUGGGCGAAAGCCUGAUCCAGCCAUGCCGCGUGUGUGAAGAAGGUCUUCGGAUUGUAAAGCACUUUAAGUUGGGAGGCGUUACCAACAGAAUAAGCACCGGCUAACUUCGUGCCAGCAGCCGCGGUAAUUC
rnacentral:rRNA from 1 species